GCAUGGAUUUGGAUUUAUGGCAGGUUUGUCACCAUGGGCCUCUCAUAGUGUCCCAUGCUAGAGCAAACUGGCUCCUAACCAUUGCCUGGCCUCUGCCUGUGGGCUGCUGGCACUGAAGGGAGUCACACAGGA